UACGGAGGGUGCGAGCGUUGUUCGGAAUCACUGGGCGUAAAGCGCGUGUAGGCGGCCCACUAAGUCUGAUGUGAAAGCCCGGGGCUCACCCCCGGAAGUGCAUUGGAAACUGGUGGACUCGAGUCCCGGAGAGGAGAGUGGAAUUCCUGGUGUAGUGGUGAAAUGCGUAGAGAUCCGGAGGAACACCAGUGGCGAAGGCGACACGCUGGGCCGUACCUGACGCUAAAGCGCGACAGCAUGGGGAGCAAACGGG
rnacentral:rRNA from 1 species